CAUGCAAGUCGAGCGGAACGAUCCUAGCUUGCUAGGAGGCGUCGAGCGGCGGACGGGUGAGUAAUGCAUAGGAAUCUGCCCGGUAGUGGGGGAUAACUUGAGGAAACUCAAGCUAAUACCGCAUACGCCCUACGGGGGAAAGCAGGGGCUCUUCGGACCUUGCGCUAUCGGAUGAGCUUAUGUCGGAUUAGCUGGUUGGUGAGGUAACGGCUCACCAAGGCGACGAUCCGUAGCUGGUCUGAGAGGAUGAUCAGCCACAUCGGGACUGAGACACGGCCCGAACUCCUACGGGAGGCAGCAGUGGGGAAUAUUGGACAAUGGGGGCAACCCUGAUCCAGCCAUGCCGCGUGUGUGAAGAAGGCCCUCGGGUUGUAAAGCACUUUCAGCGAGGAAGAAUGCUUGUCGGUUAAUACCCGGCAAGGGAGACAUCACUCGCAGAAGAAGCACCGGCUAACUCCGUGCCAGCAGCCGCGGUAAUACGGAGGGUGCGAGCGUUAAUCGGAAUUACUGGGCGUAAAGCGUGCGUAGGCGGCUUGAUAAGCCGGUUGUGAAAGCCCCGGGCUCAACCUGGGAACGGCAUCCGGAACUGUUAGGCUAGAGUGCAGGAGAGGAAGGUAGAAUUCCCGGUGUAGCGGUGAAAUGCGUAGAGAUCGGGAGGAAUACCAGUGGCGAAGGCGGCCUUCUGGACUGACACUGACGCUGAGGUACGAAAGCGUGGGUAGCAAACAGGAUUAGAUACCCUGGUAGUCCACGCCGUAAACGAUGUCGACUAGCCGUUGGGGUCCUCGAGACCUUUGUGGCGCAGUUAACGCACUAAGUCGACCGCCUGGGGAGUACGGCCGCAAGGUUAAAACUCAAAUGAAUUGACGGGGGCCCGCACAAGCGGUGGAGCAUGUGGUUNANUUCGAUGCACGCGAAGAACCUUUACCUACCCUUGACAUCGUGCGAACUUUCCAGAGAUGGAUUGGUGCCUUCGGGGAGCGCACAGACAGGUGCUGCAUGGCUGUCGUCAGCUCGUGUUGNGAAAUGUUGGGUUAAGUCCGUAACGAG
rnacentral:rRNA from 1 species